UUUCCGUAGGUGAACCUGCGGAAGGAUCAUUAAAAAUGAAGCCGGGAAACCGGUCCUUCUAACCCUUGAUUAUCUCAAUUUGUUGCUUUGGUGGGCCGCGCAAGCACCGGCUUCGGCUGGAUCGUGCCCGCCAGAGGACACAACUCUGUAUCAAAUGUCGUCUGAGUACUGUAAAAUAGUUAAAACUUUCAACAACGGAUCUCUUGGUUCUG
rnacentral:misc_RNA from 1 species